AGGGAAUUAAACUCCCAAACCCCUGUGACAUACCACUUGUUGCCUCGGCGGAUCAGCCCGCUCCCGGUAAAACGGGACGGCCCGCCAGAGGACCCCUAAACUCUGUUUCUAUAUGUAACUUCUGAGUAAAACCAUAAAUAAAUCAAAACUUUCAACAACGGAUCUCUUGGUUCUGGCAUCGAUGAAGAACGCAGCAAAAUGCGAUAAGUAAUGUGAAUUGCAGAAUUCAGUGAAUCAUCGAAUCUUUGAACGCACAUUGCGCCCGCCAGUAUUCUGGCGGGCAUGCCUGUUCGAGCGUCAUUUCAACCCUCAAGCACAGCUUGGUGUUGGGACUCGCGUUAAUUCGCGUUCCUCAAAUUGAUUGGCGGUCACGUCGAGCUUCCAUAGCGUAGUAGUAAAACCCUCGUUACUGGUAAUCGUCGCGGCCACGCCGUUAAACCCCAACUUCUGAAUGUUGACCUCGGAUCAGGUAGGAAUACCCGCUGAACUUAAGCAUAUCAAAAGCCCGGAGGAA
rnacentral:rRNA from 1 species